GUGCUCACUUUGGCAGCACAUAUACUAAAAUUGGAAUGAUGCAGAGAAGAUUAGCAUGGCCCCUGUGCAAAGAUGACAUGCAAGUUCAUGAAGCGUUCCGCCAUGGU
rnacentral:snRNA from 1 species